rnacentral:rRNA from 1 species
UGGGGAAUAUUGGACAAUGGGCGCAAGCCUGAUCCAGCCAUACCGCGUGGGUGAAGAAGGCCUUCGGGUUGUAAAGCCCUUUUGUUGGGAAAGAAAUCCUGUUGAUUAAUACUCGAUAGGGAUGACGGUACCCAAAGAAUAAGCACCGGCUAACUUCGUGCCAGCAGCCGCGGUAAUACGAAGGGUGCAAGCGUUACUCGGAAUUACUGGGCGUAAAGCGUGCGUAGGUGGUUGUUUAAGUCCGUUGUGAAAGCCCUGGGCUCAACCUGGGAAUUGCAGUGGAUACUGGGCAACUAGAGUGUGAUAGAGGGUGGCGGAAUUCCCGGUGUAGCAGUGAAAUGCGUAGAUAUCGGGAGGAACAUCCGUGGCGAAGGCGGCCACCUGGGUCAACACUGACACU